UUUAGGUGGAUUUGGAAUUUUUCUCUCUCUGAUUCAAUUAUUCACUGUUUACAGCAUGCCAAAGGAUGACCCAAAAAUUUCAAAAGCAGAACUGAACUACAUUCAAGCUGGUCAAGAAAGUGUAUUAACCCGCAAGAGACCACCUGCUCCUUGGAAAAAAAUAUUAACGUCCCUGCAGACGUAUGCUCUUAUAUUUGGCAUGUGCGGCCAGUACUGGGCCGGAAUAUACUUCACGUCUUCACAUGCGACAUUUGCUGCAGACAUCCUUAAGUAUCCAGUUUCUCAGAAUGGACUUAUUGUUUCUACGCCGUAUAUCAUUCCUCUAGUCGUUGUACCAGGUGUGAGCUACUUGUCCUCAUGGUUAAAUAAAAAGAAAUUUUUAACUGUGAACCAAGUCAGGAAGCUUUGGAACUUGCUUGGGUCUCUUGGAUUUUCAAUUUGUCUUAUGGUUAUAAUACUAACAAAGUGUGAAAAAAGUGGUCGCAACAGUCUGUUCCUUCAUUGCGGUAGCAACAUCGUCCAUAUCAAUAGUUACCACAAUGACUGUUCCUGUCGACAUGUCACCAACAUUCGCGGGAUCUCUGACGGGUCUGAGUAUAGGAAUAGCAUCUUUUGUUGGAUUCUUUGUUCCCGUUGUGUGUGGAGCUUUAACUAACAAAGAGCAAACAGUGGAGCAGUGGACAACAUUCUUCAUCAUAUGUAUUGCAGUUGUCCUCAGCUCCUCGAUUUUCUUUGUUCUGUUUGGAUCAGCAGAGGUGCAAAGUUACAAUUAUUCAAAUAAAGAUUUGCCAGAAAGUCUGAAAAAAGAAAACAACUUACCGCUCGAAAGGAAAGAUGGACUUGAAAAGGAAUAAUAAUAAAAACUGAACGUGAUAUGAAAGACGGUCAUUUUUACAGUUCAUCAAUAUUCAUUAUAAAUUAUGAAACUUAUACAUAAAUUGUUCUAUAAUACUGCUGUAAAAAGCUAAAGCGCAAUAUUUGCAACUGUUUCAUUUUUCAUGUUUUAGCAUAUUUGUCAUCUAUUCUAUCUUUAUUGUACAAAGCACGAGCUUGCUUAUUUGAUUUCCGCUCAAAAUAAAGCAAGAAAAAAACACGUCAAAUUCCAACAUUUUACUAUUGUUAGUAGGCAAUUCAAAAUAUAUUUCUCUCUUUAUCUCAAAAACUCUCUUCUGAGAAUACCGCACUUUACUUUUCCGUAGCAGAAUACAUCUUUAAACGUCUCAAAACUUUCAGAAGGAUUGCGUUGUAGUAAAAAUCACAUACUCAAGUUCGCGGGAUCAAACACGGUUAAAGAUGGUGGAGUUUCAAGGUGCAGAAAAUCGUCAUUUUCCAUGUCACUUGAUUGCGUGGCACAUUAAAAAUUCCAGGAGUAGGGUAAGCCCAAAGCGGGUAGGCCUUUGCAUUUACACCCCUUUAACACUAGUAAGAAUCUAAGGACUCUGCAAGAAUCUUCACGUGUCGACUAAUUACGAGCAGUAGCCACAGUUCUCUUGUGUAUGCCAUUUUAAAGUAAGACGCUAACAAAGUUUUUUACUGGUUUAAUAAAAAAAAAUUCUAUUUUAUAAAAUUUUGGUUACUCUAAAAUGGUUCAUUAUGUGUCCUUGUUAUUUUUAAGUAUUAAUUUUGUGAUACUUAGGAAUAAUAUUUAAGAACUUUCUUUGCAAUUCGCGACUAAGAUUGGUCGUUAUAGUUGGAUGGAAGGAAUUCAUGUCCUUGGGCAAAACGUGUAGGCUUUCAUUUGUGCUAAUUAGCUUACGACUUAUCAGUUAAGCUUAUUUUAUAAGUGGUCAGUAAAUAGAAAAAAAAACUGCCUCCGGCUUUGUGAGAUUCCGAUUACAUGUCACCAAGUCUAACUCACACAAAUGCAAAGGCCGACCCGCUUUGGGCUGAUGAUAACGGAGGAAAAUAAAACUUCUUUUGAGCAUGAUUUCACUGUUUUGUAUAGCAUUGUCUAUCAAAGCUAUGAGCUACGUUACCGUCCAAGUUGGUUUAAUUUGACUAAUUAAUUUAAUUAAUUUGAGUAAAACCUUUGCCCAGAUUCCCCCUUCCAUUUUGAAUACCCCCCCCCCCCCCCGGGCAAAGCGGUUUUUUGGUUCCGUUCCUUUUUUUUAUGAUUUUUUAUAUUGAAAACAAGUAUUUGCCCGAGUUUGUUUACAAAUAUUUCUUUUUUUUAACCCUCAAAGUAAGCAUACCCGCUUUGGGCUUACCUUCCAAUGGGCCUUGGAUCCAAUCGCUUUUAGUGAAAUGCGCUUUGUAAGAGCCUAAUUAAGUGGCUCCACCUGGUCAGGAACUGCGAGUUAGAAUUGAGACGGACUUCUCAAGUGGUAGUUGCAUCCAGGGCUAAUAGAGGAAAGAAGGGCUAGGUCACUCCUUUGAGGUAUCCCUCGCCGCUUUGAGUCCGCCAUUUCCCCCUCGUGACGUCACGGCGCUGACUGGGGAAAAGGGGACUUCAGUGCUAUAUGCCAUCCACGUGCCUCGAUUACUUGUUCUCUCUCAUUUUUCAAAGUUUUUUAGUGAGUUUUUAAAGUUAAUUUUCGCUUUAUUGAAGUAAAUGGUAUUAAACUGCGUUCAUUUUUUUUCGACAUAUCAGUGUGUGCAAUAGCAACUUGCAAGAACACACACAAAAACUCCAAGGGGAAAAAUAUUUAUUUCCACGUGUUUCCUAAAGGAAAUAACGAACUAUGCAAAGAUUGGGUGCAAAAAUGUCAUCGAAAUGAUCCUGUGAACAUCAAAAAUGCAAGAAUAUGUAGUGAACAUUUUACUGAAGAUGAUUAUGAAGAUGACAUGAAGAACCGAUUACUUGGACUGCCUAUUAGAAGAAUUUUGAAACCCAGUGCUAUAUCAAAAAUAAAUAUUCCAACCUCCUGCAAUUUAGAAAUCAACUCUCCUCGUCAAGAAAGGCAGAAGAAACGGGAAGUAAUUGCUAGUGCUUUAAAUACCUUUAAAAAUAUCAGUUCGAAGAAAGAUAGCGCAAAUCAAAAUCACUCAAAACAAAAUGAAACAGUUUGCAGUAAUUGUCCAUUAUUGGAGGCAAAUGUAGAGUCAUUGAAAGAAAAAUGUGAUUUUUUACAGAAAAAUUUACAAAAUAGCAAUUUAGAAAAAGUUAAAUUAAAAAAAAAUACUCCUUCAAAGAAGAAAAAGAAUGCAAGAGUGUAGGAAAAAAUUUUUGAAGACAAUUCGGGUGCAAAAAAAAUGAAAUUAUCAAAUCAAAGUCAAAUUUGAAGAAAACGAAUAAAUUAGAGGGGAAAAUAAAGGAUAUUUUCACAAAGGCUCAAAUACAAGCUUUAAUGACAGAUUCUAAAAAAUUGAGAUGGAAGGCUGAGGAUAUUUCUCGUUGUAUUGCAUUGAGAUCCCUUUCAACGAAGGCAUAUGACUUCUGGAAAUCUAAAAUAGGUAUUCCUUUACCAAGUGCAAGUACAUUGAAGCGAUGGUGUGCGAAAUUAUCAUGUGAGCCAGGAUUGCAAAAGGACAUUUUGAAUCUAAUGAAAAUAAGUUCAGAAAAAUUAAGUGGUCUCGAAAAAAUAU